UACGGGGGGAGCAAGCGUUGUUCGGAUUUACUGGGCGUAAAGGGCGCGUAGGCGGCCACCGCAAGUCGACUGUGAAAUCUCUGGGCUUAACCCAGAACGGUCAGCCGAUACUGCGGGGCUAGAGUGCAGAAGGGGCAACUGGAAUUCUCGGUGUAGCGGUGAAAUGCGUAGAUAUCGAGAGGAACACCUGCGGCGAAGGCGGGUUGCUGGGCUGAUACUGACGCUGAUGCGCGAAAGCCAGGGGAGCGAACGGG
rnacentral:rRNA from 1 species